rnacentral:lncRNA from 1 species
ACCGCCAUCAGUCGUGUGGGGAUUAGCGGCUAAAAAAUAAGUGUAAUCGACCAGACGGAUACGAAAUUUAUCAGGUAAAUUUAUCUUUUUCUGGUAAUUAAAGACCGACACCUGUUGCUUCCAAAAAAUGGACGCCGGGAAGGUGUCGUUUAGUAGGCUGGCACUCGGCCAUUCCGAUCCGAUAGAGACGAUAUAUACGACAUGGGUUUUUAGACACGGCUGGGAAUAAUGGAUCUACUUCCGGCCGUAACUACCACGGGAUUGGCGUACGCGUUAAUUCGGGCCGGAGAUAUCCGGCACGGGCCAGGGAAAUGGGCUGGUUAUAUAAUAAUAGGUAUAUUUAGUAAGAGGCUGGUUUACUAUAUCCGAAAGAUGUCGAUAGGCGGAAUCGGAAUAUGUAAAAACAAUUGGGUCAGAAAACCACCCGGGGCAUCAUUUUUCUUAAUUUUUUGGUGGGAUAGAGGCACGCUCUAGCCGGACGGCCCGGUCCGUCCACCAUCAUCACUUUCGUUGGUCAUUUAAAUUUUAUGACGGGUCGUUAUCGGAAUUUCGAUCGGUGCUAACCGGAGACCCGUUGGGACGCGUGACAUCAUCGGUACCUGCCAGAUGGGAAUAAACUCGUCUUUCCACCCACCGACGACUGGUUCACCUUCAAGAUGGGCCAAAAGAAACGUUUGCGUGUCUUCCCAUCCAAUUAUCGCGUACCAAACGAAUUUUUUGCUCCGCGCGUGUAAGGAAAAGAAUUUCUGCCAGAAAGGACGAUUUACAGCCCCCGCUUUGUACCGGGCCGAAGAUAUCCUUCCCGGUAGACGACGAAAAAUAGUUUAGCCGUCCCGAUACGGAUGGCGGCCAUGGUGAGACCAAAGUGAACGGCUACGAGUCGAAGCCGAAAAGAUGGCCGAGUCAGGUUACAAACGGCUCGGGCCAAACUAAGUAGCGGUAGAAAGAUAACCUACAUCUUAACCGAGCGGUAGUCGGACCAGAAGGGGUAAACUAGUGGCGGAUGAGAAGGUGGGCGUCCCGAGAAUAUUCCGAUACGUAGUAGUAGUAAUACUAGUAGUGGGGGGAUAGAAGAGAGGAACCCGCAGCCAUAGGGUGUAGCGAAGAAUAGCCGGAUGACGGAACAAUAGGCGAAUUAAGAUAGUCCAUAGAAGAAUAUUAGCGUGCAGCGAAAUUGAGACGGUUUAUUUACUUUUAUGGCGGCAACUAAUGGCUUAACCAGGACAAUUCGAUCCUCUUAGCCAACCGAGUAGUUGGUCAAACAAUAGACAGAAGCGAUUGGAAUGGGAUGUCGGGACCCGCUGCGGUUAUUAACCCACAUCCACCGAACAGAAUCGGGGCAAUUAUCGCCGACCAGGAAAGCGCUCUCGACGUUAAGUCUUUGUUCUCGACCGGAGCAUCCAAUGGGGAUAAACGACCGGGAAAAGUAACCGGACGGAUAGGACCGCGGAAAGAUCGUCUCGGAGACGGAUUGCGGCCGACGGACGGCGCUUCCGGGACGAUGGUAAAGAAUGGUUAGACGGGUCACGGCCCGCCAACCGGUUCUCCUCCACAUCAUCCACCACGCUUUACGCUUGGCCGUCUUUCGUUCCUUAACUGGUGGCUGUCGACACCCAGCCCAAACGCCACUCCGCGUCUACCUCCGAAAUUUCCCUGAAAAUGUCGGAGACGACGGCUUCGAUUUUUAACCGCCAGAAAACUCGUUUUCCUUUCCAAAUUUGGUCGAAAGACGGGUUUUCCGGGUAUACUUUCCCUCGGACCCCGGCUCGAGUAUACUACGCCAUCUGCCGUGACUUUUAUGGCCAUUAAAAUAUGUCCGUCAGAAACCACGGGUUUACAAAAACUCGUAUUUAAAAAGAUGGCGGGAAGAAAAGUUUCCGCCAGCGAGGUGUGCUGCGCUCGAUUAACCGACUUCGGAAGAAAGGGAAUAGAAAAUUGGCUACCGACCAGUAGGAAUAUUUUUCGGAUUGACGGCCGAUGGAAGCAACCAGGCGCGUCUGUCGGUCACGGCCCGUUAGUCCUUAACCUCUGGAGAACGAAAAUCUGUUUCGGUCGAUGAAAGCCGGACCCGGUGUUAAGGACCGCCAAUGACCAUACCCGGCUUCAAUAAUGGCCUGGUCGAUUUUGUCGGGCUCUCUUCCCAUCCCGUUGGCCGGAGCCACAACUUAACCGACCACCCGCCCUCGGCAUUUUUAACUCCACCUUGCCGGUCGCUCGGAUUAGCCUGGUGUGGAAAUUAGGUUACCGACGCCAUCUAGGCUACGGGCACGAUACCGUCUGACGGUGUCGUCCGCCACUGGUUACUGUCCGUUCUCUUUAUCCCGAGCGCUUUUUUUUUUUUUUUUUUUUUUUUGUUUGCGCGCGUGU